rnacentral:miRNA from 1 species
CCAGAGAUGGUUGCCUUCCUAU